rnacentral:rRNA from 1 species
ACGUAGGGGGCGAGCGUUGUCCGGAAUUACUGGGCGUAAAGGGUGCGUAGGCGGCAGACUAAGUCUUGUGUGAAAUACCCGGGCUCAACCCGGGGGUUGCAUGGGAAACUGGCCUGCUUGAGUACAGUAGAGGCGAGCGGAAUUCCUGGUGUAGCGGUGAAAUGCGUAGAGAUCAGGAGGAACACCAGUGGCGAAGGCGGCUUGCUGGACGGAAACUGACGCUGAGGUGCGAAAGCGUGGGGAGCAAACAG